GUUCCGCUGAAGAGUCCCAAACUAGGACGAAACAGCUGUCCAGUAC
rnacentral:hammerhead_ribozyme from 1 species